UGUUUUUUCUUACCGUUCCUUUCCCUUUCCAUGCUCCUGCCUCCCUAUUCCCCGCUGCCUGCUGCCUUCCCUAUUCCUUGGCGUGAGCCCUCCACCGCCUGCCUCCUCACCACCACCUAGAUCAAUCCGAUUAGACGAGGAAGCAAUUUUCAUCCUCUCCUGCCUCCUUCCGACUUCCGAGCCCUCUUCCCGCAGAAUCCUAGUCGCUUGUACCCACGCCCCACCCCACCCUAAUCCUUUAACUUGCUUCAAGUCCACCCCUUACCACCGUCAACCUCUCCCCAUCUUCCUCCCCACAUCAACCGAGCUACUGGUACAAGCUCAUCUCCGAUCGAGACCUCUUCCCUUGGUUGUUUGAAUUCAAGGUUUUGGGAGAGCUCUCGCAUCCCAAAGUUCCUCUUUUUGGCUAUUGUUUAGGUUUUUGGGUUGUUGAAUGGUGAUGGAGGAUGCAACAGAGAGUUGCGACAGUUGGGAUGUGGUGGAUUUGGCUCGCAUACAUACUAGGCAGAAAUUGCAACACUGUGUAUAACCAGUUCCUUAGCUACCACCAUCUUUACUCCGAUGCAUGCGCCACCUUCAUGUUGCGUUGUUGUCGUUCCACGAAGUCACCACCUACACCGCAGGUGUCUGUGCUAUUGCAGCCUAUAGUCACAUAAGUUUAGUAUAUGGAAGAUUCCUAUGAGUGAUUCUUCUAUAGAACUUCGUAAAGAUUGUCUCAACAAAGUUGGUUGGUUUGUUACUUUAUACAAGAGAAACAAUUCAUCUCAUGGAGUUCGAAGACAUGCUACUAGCAAGAGGAUGGAGGAAGAAAUUAUUGAAUGAAUAAAUUUGGAG